rnacentral:rRNA from 1 species
CCGGCGAUUUCCGAAUGGGGAAACCCAGUGUGAUUCGUCACACUAUCAUUAACUGAAUCCAUAGGUUAAUGAGGCGAACCGGGGGAACUGAAACAUCUAAGUACCCCGAGGAAAAGAAAUCAACCGAGAUUCCCCCAGUAGCGGCGAGCGAACGGGGAGGAGCCCAGAGCCUGAAUCAGUGUGUGUGUUAGUGGAAGCGUCUGGAAAGGCGUGCGAUACAGGGUGACAGCCCCGUACACAAAAAUGCACAUACUGUGAGCUCGAUGAGUAGGGCGGGACACGUGGUAUCCUGUCUGAAUAUGGGGGGACCAUCCUCCAAGGCUAAAUACUCCUGACUGACCGAUAGUGAACCAGUACCGUGAGGGAAAGGCGAAAAGAACCCCGGCGAGGGGAGUGAAAAAGAACCUGAAACCGUGUACGUACAAGCAGUGGGAGCCUCUUAAUGGGGUGACUGCGUACCUUUUGUAUAAUGGGUCAGCGACUUAUAUUCUGUAGCAAGGUUAACCGAAUAGGGGAGCCGAAGGGAAACCGAGUCUUAACUGGGCGUUAAGUUGCAGGGUAUAGACCCGAAACCCGGUGAUCUAGCCAUGGGCAGGUUGAAGGUUGGGUAACACUAACUGGAGGACCGAACCGACUAAUGUUGAAAAAUUAGCGGAUGACUUGUGGCUGGGGGUGAAAGGCCAAUCAAACCGGGAGAUAGCUGGUUCUCCCCGAAAGCUAUUUAGGUAGCGCCUCGUGAAUUCAUCUCCGGGGGUAGAGCACUGUUUCGGCAAGGGGGUCAUCCCGACUUACCAACCCGAUGCAAACUGCGAAUACCGGAGAAUGUUAUCACGGGAGACACACGGCGGGUGCUAACGUCCGUCGUGAAGAGGGAAACAACCCAGACCGCCAGCUAAGGUCCCAAAGUCAUGGUUAAGUGGGAAACGAUGUGGGAAGGCCCAGACAGCCAGGAUGUUGGCUUAGAAGCAGCCAUCAUUUAAAGAAAGCGUAAUAGCUCACUGGUCGAGUCGGCCUGCGCGGAAGAUGUAACGGGGCUAAACCAUGCACCGAAGCUGCGGCAGCGACACUAUGUGUUGUUGGGUAGGGGAGCGUUCUGUAAGCCUGUGAAGGUGUACUGUGAGGUAUGCUGGAGGUAUCAGAAGUGCGAAUGCUGACAUAAGUAACGAUAAAGCGGGUGAAAAGCCCGCUCGCCGGAAGACCAAGGGUUCCUGUCCAACGUUAAUCGGGGCAGGGUGAGUCGACCCCUAAGGCGAGGCCGAAAGGCGUAGUCGAUGGGAAACAGGUUAAUAUUCCUGUACU